UGAUAGUUUGAGUCGGGGUCAAUCGUUUCUGCACAUGUCGGUGAGUGCGAUGAAAGAAGUAUAGACCCCAAAUCGAACGAUGUCCUCACAGCCGGCAGUUCGUCAUCAACAAUAUUCGCCAUCUUCAUUUUUUCCGGUUUCUGUCUUUUCUGUGAGCAGUACGUCCAUUGAAAAGAAUGGGAUGCUUGUCCAAGAUGCGGCUAAAAUAAGGAAUAUUUGCCGGAAUCAAUAUUGAAUUCUUUAGUCCAAGACAUUGCUACACCAUACUCUUUCAUCACCCAUACACAAUAAUAGUUUCCAAUGGUACUCCAAUGAUAAUUCAUCUGGAUCUAUGUUAUAGAAAGUUAUUCUAGGAACUUAGCUACAUGAAGACUUAGCGGACCACAUAAUUUAGAUGCACAAUCUGUAUGACCUUAAAAUCAUUCGUCAAUGGAUCAAGCCCAAACCCAAUGUUAUACAUAAAUGGACCAUGUGACUGAAAUGUGACACGAACCGGUGGAAGGGCCAUCAACUUUUGAAUCAAUGGGUUCCAUAGAUAAAAGUCAUUGGUAAUAGCAAAGUGAUUGUCCGAGAGGCAUAUAACCCCAUUACGAUUAUCCUAAAAUAAUAGAUUGCAAAGUGAAAGCUGGAGCUUUGUAUAUUCAUCAAACAUUCAAUUAUCAUAAUGCAGUGAGUAAUGCUAGAGUAUGGCAUAGCGACAACUUGGACUAAACAUUUCAAUAUUGAUGUGAGCAAAUUUUACCAAAGCGUAGUUGUUCUACUGACAAGGGAUAUUUGGCAUCUUGUGAUUUCGAAGGCCAGCGAGGACUUUGGAAUCUCAAAAUUUGUGGCUCUAGAGAUUCAUGGUAUAAGGACUCGUUUAAUGCAAAUGCUUACACGGAGAGCCUAGUUUUACAUGGGUGAAACCACCUGUUUUGCAUGGAGAAGACAGUGAAGCUGAUAAAAAAUCCGAGAAAGAGAGUCGAAAAGCAAAGGAGAUUUUUCUUUCAAGGUCACAACGUGGCUGGUCUGGAAAGCCAAAAUACGGAAAUGAUGAGAGGUGAACUUUCGAAAGAGUAGAAAUGGCAUGUAAUCUCUAUCCCUGCUUCUAGUUAGGUUGACUCUAUUUAGAGUGUAUAAAUUGUAUAUUGAUGUAGUUUAGAACUUCCUUUGGGAAGAUUUAACUGAAUCAUGAUGCAUGGAGAAUUUACGCGUUGAUAUAGGUUGUAGAUGUUAUGCUGAUAAUAUUGCUCAUCUUUUGAUGCCAUUAUAUCUUUUUAAAACCUGUUAUGAGGGAUCAGCCACGAGUUUCCAAGAAUAUAUUUUUGGGUUAUGUUGUUGGAUUCCUAGCCAAGCAUUUAGAACUACUAAUCUGGAUAUGAGUGGGAAAUUGUAACUAUCUUUUUAAUUCAUAUUCUUAUCAAGAGGGCUCCCUCUUGGCAAGGGCCAUGAGCUUUCCCUUGGUAAGUAUCUCAAAAUUUGUGAAACGAUAGACAAAAGGUCAAUACAAUGAUCAAUAGACAGAGCUUACUGCCCUUGUCAAAAGGAGACCCAUAUUAUAGCUUUUUUCUAGAAUAUAUAUAUAUAUAUAUAUGUAUAUGUGUAUAAAUGUUCAUGACCUGCAAUACAGUAUUACUAUAAUUUAGUUAGUAUUGGUACUCUGGUGCUGCAUGUUUGCUUCUUGAAGUAAGGUGCUGUUUGUGCGCUUGAUACUGUGAUUUUUUCCACUUGCAAUAUAAAACUUUAUAUUAAUCAUAAGCAACAUUACAUUCAUCAUUCUCCACAUUUAACAACCAAGUAGGAAUCACAUCCCACUCCACCAGCAUAUGACACUCCCCCAAAACUCUUUAUCCAAAGAGCAUGAACUACCCUGUUACACACUCUACAUCCAUUGCAGCACUGUCUCCCCAUGAUGCUGCAAGAGUUUAUCAAUAUCUUCAUAAACUGUCACUAAAACAGCCUCUGAAACAAACAUCUUCAUCGUAGUUUAGAACUUAAAAUGAAGUAAUCUUUUAAGCGAGAACAUUUCAUUUAGCAUUGAACACUAAUCAUUGGAAAAGAAAUUUAAAAAAAAAAAUUAAUUUGCAUUUGGCACUUAUUAUUUUCAGCUCUUCUUUUUUGAUAAACUACUUCUAUGGACUUAGAGAGAAUGGAACUGUGCAUUUAUAUUUUUAUUUUGAUUCUCGU